UACGAAGGGGGCGAGCGUUGUUCGGAAUUACUGGGCGUAAAGGGCGCGCAGGCGGCUCUGAAAGUCAGAUGUGAAAGCCCCCGGGCUUAACCUGGGAAUUGCAUUUGAUACUCUGGAGCUUGAGUACGGGAGAGGAGAGUGGAAUUCCCAGUGUAGAGGUGAAAUUCGUAGAUAUUGGGAAGAACACCGGUGGCGAAGGCGGCUCUCUGGACCGUAACUGACGCUGAGGCGCGAAAGCGUGGGGAGCAAACAGG
rnacentral:rRNA from 1 species